rnacentral:rRNA from 1 species
CCUACGGGAGGCAGCAGUGGGGAAUAUUGGGCAAUGGGCGCAAGCCUGACCCAGCAACGCCGCGUGAAGGAAGAAGGCUUUCGGGUUGUAAACUUCUUUUCUCAGGGACGAAGCAAGUGACGGUACUUGAGGAAUAAGCCACGGCUAACUACGUGCCAGCAGCCGCGGUAAUACGUAGGUGGCAAGCGUUAUCCGGAUUUACUGGGUGUAAAGGGUGUGUAGGCGGGACUGCAAGUCAGAUGUGAAAACCACGGGCUCAACAUGUGGCGUGCAUUUGAUACUGUAGUUCUUGAGUACUGGAGAGGCAGACGGAAUUCGUGGUGUAGCGGUGAAAUGCGUAGAUAUUAGGAAGAACACCAGUGGCGAAGGCAGUCUGCUGGACAGCAACUGACGCUGAGGCGCGAAAGCGUGGGGAGCAAACAGGAUUAGAUACCCUUGUAGUC